rnacentral:rRNA from 1 species
UCAGUUCGUACUGUGAAGCAUCCUGUUAAGUCAGGCAACGAGCGAGACCCACGCCCACAGUUGCCAGCGUACUCUCUGGAGUGACGGGUACACUGUGGGGACCGCCGCUGCUAAAGCGGAGGAAGGAAUGGGCAACGGUAGGUCAGUAUGCCCCGAAUAUCCCGGGCUACACGCGAGCUACAAUGGUUGGUACAAUGGGUAUCUACCCCGAAAGGGGACGGGAAUCUCCUAAAACCAAUCUUAGUUCGGAUUGAGGGCUGCAACUCGCCCUCAUGAAGCUGGAAUCCGUAGUAAUCGCGUUUCAACAGAACGCGGUGAAUACGUCCCUGCUCCUU